CCUAGGGGAGGCAGCAGUGGGGAAUAUUGCACAAUGGGGGAAACUCUGAUGCAGCGACGCCGCGUGAGUGAAGAAGUAUUUCGGUACGUAAAGCUCUAUCAGCAGGGAAGAAAAACCGGCCUUAGGGCCGCCCGUCGGUACCUGACUAAGAAGCCACGGCUAACUACGUGCCAGCAGCCGCGGUAAUACGUAGGGGGCAAGCGUUAUCCGGAUUUACUGGGGGUAAAGGGAGCGUAGACGGCAGCUCAAGUCUGGAGUGAAAUGCCGGGGCCCAACCCCGGAACUGCUUUGGAAACUGGGCAGCUGGAGUGCAGGAGAGGUAAGCGGAAUUCCUAGUGUAGCGGUGAAAUGCGUAGAUAUUAGGAGGAACACCAGUGGCGAAGGCGGCUUACUGGACUGUAACUGACGUUGAGGCUCGAAAGCGUGGGGAGCAAACAGGAGUAGAUACCCGUGUAGUC
rnacentral:rRNA from 1 species